rnacentral:rRNA from 1 species
GUAGGUGGCAAGCGUUGUCCGGAAUUAUUGGGCGUAAAGCGCGCGCAGGCGGUUCUUUAAGUCUGAUGUGAAAGCCCACGGCUCAACCGUGGAGGGUCAUUGGAAACUGGAGAACUUGAGUACAGAAGAGGAAAGCGGAACUCCACGUGUAGCGGUGAAAUGCGUAGAGAUGUGGAGGAACACCAGUGGCGAAGGCGGCUUUCUGGUCUGUAACUGACGCUGAGGCGUGAAAGCGUGGGGAGCAAACAGGAUUAGAUACCCUGGUAGUCCACGCCGUAAACGAUGAGUGCUAAGUGUUAGGGGGGUUUUCCGCCCCCCUUAGUGCUGCAGCUAACGCAUUAAGCACUCCGCCUGGGAGUACGGCCGCAAGGCUG